UCAGAUUGAACGCUGGCGGCAGGCCUAACACAUGCAAGUCGAGCGGCACGGAAGGAAGCUUGCUUCCUUGCCGGCGAGCGGCGGACGGGUGAGUAAUGUCUGGGGAUCUGCCCGAUGGAGGGGGAUAACUACUGGAAACGGUAGCUAAUACCGCAUAACGUCGCAAGACCAAAGUGGGGGACCUUCGGGCCUCACACCAUCGGAUGAACCCAGAUGGGAUUAGCUAGUAGGCGGGGUAAAGGCCCACCUAGGCGACGAUCUCUAGCUGGUCUGAGAGGAUGACCAGCCACACUGGAACUGAGACACGGUCCAGACUCCUACGGGAGGCAGCAGUGGGGAAUAUUGCACAAUGGGGGAAACCCUGAUGCAGCCAUGCCGCGUGUAUGAAGAAGGCCUUCGGGUUGUAAAGUACUUUCAGCGGGGAGGAAGGCAGUGAACUUAAUACGUUCGCUGAUUGACGUUACCCGCAGAAGAAGCACCGGCUAACUCCGUGCCAGCAGCCGCGGUAAUACGGAGGGUGCAAGCGUUAAUCGGAAUGACUGGGCGUAAAGCGCACGCAGGCGGUUUGUUAAGUCAGAUGUGAAAUUCCCGAGCUUAACUUGGGAACUGCAUUUG
rnacentral:rRNA from 1 species